rnacentral:rRNA from 1 species
CGGCUACCACAUCCAAGGAAGGCAGCAGGCGCGCAAAUUACCCAAUCCCGACACGGGGAGGUAGUGACAAUAAAUAACAAUACAGGGUUCUUUGAAUCUUGUAAUUGGAAUGAGUACAAUUUAAAUCUCUUAACGAGGAACAAUUGGAGGGCAAGUCUGGUGCCAGCAGCCGCGGUAAUUCCAGCUCCAAUAGCGUAUAUUAAAGUUGUUGCAGUUAAAAAGCUCGUAGUUGAAUUUCGGGAUCAAUUCGUCGGUCGUGCUUUCGGGUACGUACUGGUGUUAUUGGUUUCUCCCUUCUGACGAACCAUGAUGUCAUUAAUUUGGUGUUAUGGGAAGUUAGGACUGUUACUUUGAAAAAAUUAGAGUGUUUAAAGCAGGCAUUAGCUUGAAUACAUUAGCAUGGAAUAAUGAAAUAGGACGUNCAAUCCUAUUUUGUUGGUUUCUAGGAUCAACGUAAUGAUUAAUAGGGAUAGUUGGGGGCAUUAGUAUUCAAUUGUCAGAGGUGAAAUUCUUGGAUUUAUUGAAGACUAACUACUGCGAAAGCAUUUGCCAAGGAUGUUUUCAUUAAUCAAGAACGAAAGUUAGGGGAUCGAAGACGAUCAGAUACCGUCGUAGUCUUAACCAUAAACUAUG